AGAUUGAUUCCACCUGCUGGAGACAGCAAACAACGGUGCUGAUGCAGCAAGCUGUCUGCUGCUUCUUGGAGGAGGCAUAAACCAAGACACCUAGGCUAGUACAGGAGGCUACUGAAGGAAACCACUUCUUUAAACUUGUAGUCACUGGAGGAAGUAGUUGUAACCCCACAAAAUCUCAAGCUGGUCUCCUCCUAGUGAAAGCCUUGAUAUAUUAAUGAAACACAUUACUGCACAGCUAGCAUCCAUAUACUGUAGUUGAGUUUGUAACCUGGGUUUACAGCAAGAGCAGUUAACCAGGUGCUCUCACCUCAAAAAGUGCAAAUCCUGACUUUAUAAUUAAAUUCAGAGGGAAAACAGAUCAAAGAGGAACUGUCUGGAAAAUAAACAGGGGUUGUUCUUCUCUCAGUGCACAGAGGGCUACAUGUGGAAAUCCCUCACACCAAGAGGACAACAUACCCCUUACUAUAAAAGAUGCCAAUAGCUGAACUAUCAUCAUCCUUGGACACAGUCCCUCCAGAACAGAAAUGAUGCACAUUGGCAGCACAUCACAAUGAGCCUAUAAAGUUCUGGCCCCUUUUGUUCCUUUUGUGGAGAAAAAGGACUUAAAUCCAACACUUUUCAUGAGCAUUACAUUCCUAUUAAAUUGUUUAAAAGGGGAGCAAAAGGACUGAGAACUUAGUUUGAUCACUCAAUUCUUCUUUUAAAAUGUUUCAAGUCAAAUCAAUAAUCACUACCAACCUGGCAAACCUUCAUUGGACUUGUUCAGGAAAGAGUCAGUUAAAAUCAGGAGAAAUUUAGCUCUUGAACAAGUAGGCAUAAGUGACUCCCAUUGAGUUCAAUGAACAUUGCAUCCAUUUACACCUGAGCUGAAUCAUCAGCUGUAAAUCUCUUUAUAGUGGUAUCUCUUUAUACAAAGAGUCCUCACAUUUCGCACUGACUCAGCUGUGCAAAAACAUCCAGCUCCUUAUAGUAUCAUAAUUCGAUAGCAUUAUUAGUAAGGUUAUUAACCUACUGGGACAGAUCUAACUUUGCCUUUAUCCUUUCACUAGGAGGCUACUGUAUAAAAUGCCAGCUAUUCUUUCUCCUUUCUGUAAAAUAAUACUAUGCUUGAUUAUGCAAAUCUCAGACUCUGUUCCACAGAGAGGGAUAGAAUAAGAUCAUCAGCGUUCUUUUCCAAGAAUUCCGUUUACAGUAUGUGUCUUUUCUAUUUGACAGAGUCAGAGCUUUCUGGGAUGCAAAGCCAGACACUUAACUUUCAUAUCUGUAGUUCUGAACAGUGAAAAAGGAAAAUAUCUGUUAAAGUUUAUAUUAUUUUACAAAGCAGUUGUCAGCUGAGAUUUGUUGUGUACUCAAGAAAAAUUGUUCAUGGAAAUCUCACAGAGACCCUCAGGACUCAAGAACUCAAAUUAAUCAUGGGUGUCACUCCACUGAAGUCAAUGAAAUGACACCAAGGAUGCAUUUGGCCCCACAUUUUUUUAGUGGACAGCUGUACUUUCACAUGGCCCCAAGGUCAUUCAUGGAAUAUCUUUGGAUGUCAGUUGCAGUACGGCAUGGACAAGUCACGUUUUUAAAACUCUGUGUCACAACACUGUUUUUAUAAAAGGAUGUUGUACUAAAAUCACUUAUUAAUAUGGUUAUUAAUGGAUGGAAUGGAGAUACCCUGCUGACAUGAAGCAAUAGAACAGCUGUAAGCACUAAGGCCUUGAUUCUGCAAAGCACCCCUGUUUGGUAGAGCUCUUUAACACAUCUUUACUUUAAGCAUAUAUUUAAAUCCCAUUGAGUUCCCAUUGAGAAUGCUUUGCUGAAGCAUAACCUAACAGAGGAACUCUAGAUCUUCUUUACUGUGAUGAAACAAGCUCUUGACUAUACUCGAAGGGUGGACUUCCUCAACUUAUGUAAAGAAAUUCCCAUGACAGCAAGUAAUGAACUGCAGUGUAAGCCAUACUCUACUCUGUAUGUGAAGCAAUUCUUAGGAUAUUACUGGUAAACCUCAGUAUUCCUGUCAAAUUUAUGAUAAAGUAGGUUGCUGUGGCCAGAGAGUUUUCUCAGCCUUGCCAUGCUGGUGAUCCAGGUUCAAGUCCUGUUAUCUGACACUCUGGGUGAUUAAUUUGGCUCAGUACGUUCAGCUGCUGGGGUAAGGAGUGCCUCAUGUCAGGGGUCCUUAAGACCAUUCUGACUAGAUCGGCUUGGCUAAAAGGAUGGGUGCUGUAGGGCCUUGAAAAUGGGGGGUUAAGUGUGGAAAAAUGGGGAGGUUAGUGUAGAAGGAACCCUGAAAAUCUUUUACAAGCCUACAGGAAUAAUAUAACCUAUUCGCCUGAGAUCUCUGCUGGUCUAAUGAGCGCUUCCAAGCUUGCCAUUUUGUGUUAUAUACAGUUGAAACAUUGUGGAAUUCACUUAACAUUGCGAAUACUUGGCAUUUUCAUAGAAUACUGAAAACUGAAAUCUGAUCUAAAAACAUUCUGCUUUUAAAAAACCAUCUACAAUAUGUGAUACCUGCAAA